rnacentral:lncRNA from 1 species
UCAUAAUAAAGGAAUUUCAUAAUUGAAGGAUGAUAAAUACGACAACUUAGAUAGAAAGUCUCCCAACCAGGAUCAAAAGUUCGGAGGUCUGAGACAAAAAGAUAACAUUUAAUACUGAGCAAAUAUUAUAUGCGAGGAAUAAUCGCUAGGAAAGCGAUGACAAUACGAGUUCAUAUUAAAUAGGCUAUGAAUAUUAAAAUAUCCAAUCCCAAAUAUUAUUCAUCUUAGAGAAUAUUAUGGCAGCAGAAUUUAUUCUUGGCAUUUAUCUGAAAAUACAGCAACACCCUCCCUCAGCUUCGCACGUCACCAUCUGCCGCUCAACCUGCAAAAGGUUUUGAAAACAAUUGCAGGGCUGAGUACUAAUAUACUCAGUGGGUUUAGCCAUUUGAAAACAUUUGAAAAAUUCAUUUAAAAGAAUAAUCCAUGCUAUGAACAGUAUAACAUAGAAAUAUUUGAAAGCAUUCCAUGCAUACUUAAAAUAAAUUGUGGAUCCAUUUUCAGUCUUCUCUCUACUAGUGCUUCGCCUAUAAUGUGAACAUGUGGGAGUAGCCCACAGAGGUCCACUACCAUGCAUGUUUCAGAAAUGGGAGCAGCCCAAGUCUGACAGUUUGAGGCAAGUGGGAGCAGCCCACAAUACCCCCUUGUGUGUACACAAUCCUAACCAAGGCGAUCCAAUCGCUACGCCGGCUAGGACCCGAUCGUUAGAGAACAUAGGGGCACUUUAAACAAUAGAGAGAUAAAAACAUUUUAACAUGGACAUUCAUUUGCAUUUGCAUAAAAAUUUAGAGCUCAAUAACUCAAAACAUACAUUGGAAAAUAAAAACCCACCUUGAUAACAAGCCUGUAGAUAAAUCUUGCACAAUUCUCUUCUUGUAAAAUCAGUGCUAAAGCCUUCUAUCAAGUGGACCUACAAGAUAAUCUAAUCUUAAUAGGCCUCAAAUUAAUCAAAAUAAAAAUUUAAGUCCAAUUCUCUUAGUAUGAGCCCAAGUUCAAUCAAAUAAUUCUCAUGUCUCUGGCCCAAUUUAAAAUAAAAGCUGAAGCCCAAAAAUUAGGGCCCAAAUCAACCCAUCCCUUCCUCUUUUUACUCUGGAUCGGUCUCUGUCUCUCUCUCUAUCCCAGCUCUCACCUUCCAUUCCUCCUUUCUCCCUCUGAAAUCUGUAGCCGCUGCCGCCUCUUUCUCCGGCGAGCAGACGCUGCGACGCCGACGCUAUGGUUGCCGCUUCCUUCUCCAUCUCGGCGUCUCUCUCUCCCCCUCUAUCUUCAUCUCGCUCACUUUCUCACUCUCCCUCUAAAUACUUCGGUUCACCCUCUCCCUCACAUCUCCUUCUCUCGGCUGGACGGUCAACGGCAAAAGGGCCGCCACCGCCGCCGACUCCAUCUCAUCUCCCCUCUUCCCUCUCCGAUUCCACAGAACCCAAAGGUAAGAAGCUCCCAAAUUCUGGAAUCCCCAAAAUCCUUAACCCUUUCCUUCUUCGAUUUCAAGUGAGAGACAGUCGGAGUAUCGCCUUGCCGUCGCGGCAUAGUAGCAGCGUCACUCAGCCACCUUCUCUCUCGAUCGACGAACGGACGGCGCCAAUAGGCAACCGCCGCCGCGAUUCAUCACCAUCAUCUCCGAUUCUCCCUAAACCGCCUCUUCCUCCCCUCUGAAUUGCGGCCAGCAGCUCGAAAUACCGCCGCCGCCCCGGACGUCCAGCCCGACUACUCGCCGGAACCCCAUCCAGCCACGCCAUCGCCGCCUCCUCCUUCUGGCCUAACCCACCGAGCAGCAGCAUUUAGAACCGCCGCCGUGCCUCUCAGUCCCCGACUUGCCCCAACUCACCCCACAUCUGACAGCAAGUUAUUCCCCUUUUCCCAAUUUAAAAACAUUUUUUUACUCAUUUAUUCACUUCAAUAAAAACUUGAUUCAGUUUAUGAAAUAAAUGCCUCAGAUUAUGCAAAGUAUAUGCAUAUGAACAUCUUGAUUGAUUUUGUUUUGUGAAAACAAUUGGUGAUAGCUAUGUUAUUGUUAGAAUAGAAGAAGGAAGCAAACCUCUGUGCGAUAUGAAUAUGCUCAAAGUUUACACAGCUCGUGGCAUCGAAUCUGUGAAAGAAAGUUGUAAAAUUUAUCGGAAGAAAAUCUGGGGUGAGUAGUAAUAAAUUUGGAACUGUGUGAAGAAGUUGGGAAAGUCUUGAGGAUUUUGUAGCGGAAAAAUGGCGAUGUGGAAUAACCCUUUCCAUUCAAGCUGAAAAUUGAGGAUGUGGAAUAACCAUUUCCAUUCAAUUAGUUAUUGAAUGGAAAAGAUGCACCGUAAAAAAAAUCUGCAGCUUAAAAAUAUUGGGCUUCAAAAGUUUUUCUCCCAAAGUUUGAUCCAAAACAAAGAUCAAAUCUCAGUAAUAAUAACUCUCUCUUUUUAGAAUCUC